UCCAUUACAGCAUAAUGUAAACAUUUAUAGUAGAGCUAGUCUAAAGUUUGUUCACCAACCUUCCAUAAGUCAAGGAAGGUUGUUCACCAAACCUACCUAAAAGCAAGGUAGUUCAACUACUUCUUGACUACAACAAAAUCUAAAUGACUUUAACAAAUACCUCCAAAAACUAUCAACAACACUUGCAUCAAUUUCUUCAAUGGAGCUGUAGCUGUAACUUUAACACUCCUCCUUGAUGCA
rnacentral:lncRNA from 1 species